GUGAGUAACCUGGUCUAGAGGGAGGUGUCCCUGCCUAUAGCAGGGGGGGUUGGAACCAGAUGAUCUUAAAGGUCCCUUCCAACCCAAACCAUUCUGUGAUUCUAUAAUUCUAUGAUUUGCUCCAAAAGCAUGGUCUGGAUCUGAAAUAACAUGUCAACAUGGCCAUAUCCACUAACAGCAGGCUGCAGUCUUUUUUCUUUAGGUUUCUCCUAUUUCAUCAUCAUCGGUGAUGUCAGACACCCCUGGGCAUCGUUGAAGGCAAGGCAUGCUCAUUUUCCAUCCCCGGUGCCCCAUAACAGACAGCCUAGCCUCAGCAAGGUCACAUUAACACCGACACGAUCCUGCUUGGGGACAAAGCCAGAGGUUUAACCUGGCAGCUGCUUCGGCUCCUCUGAGCAUGUAAUUGCACGCAUGCUGCUAUCUCAACUCGUCCUGGCUCCUUCUGACAUUUAAAGCAGAACAGUGCUAGUGCUGCUCCAUCUCCAGCUCCAUCUCAGCCUGACCAUGCCUGCUCACAGCUCUGCCUUUUGGAAGUAAAGCGAUGGGAAGGCCAGGCUGCUAGCUUAAAAGUCAGCUCCUCUUCCACUCACAUCAGGCACCUGGACACCUUUGGCUGCAGGGAGUGUAGAGGGAUAUACGCAACAGAAAAACUUUGGUGGAAAGGGCUUGGUAAGAGGAUAUGCAGGAAAUGAAGCAGUGUCAAUCAGACUCCUCCAUCACCCCUUGGCCUCUGCCCUCCACAAAUGUGCCCAGCGUAACAAAAAUCAAGGGGACUAUGACUUGCCUGUGCUCAGACUUACUUUACAUUAGGUAGAUCACUACGUACAGAAAACUUCAGCUCGGAAAGAGGCCAAAGGUGAGAAGUGUGGCUGUAAAUUAAAUUAAAUGGUUUCAUAACUAGCAGAAGACAGGAGCCUGGCUCCCUGUGUAACACUUUCACCACACUGAUGAAUACGCAGUAUAUAAGAAAAAAUCCAGUCCAUUUCCUAAGAACCUCCUUAUCAGCAGAAUAAGGAUGUUCUGCUCCACCAAAAUAUUAACUGCCCUCAUUUCUUCCCGCAGUCAUUGCCAGCUUCCCACCUUACUCAAACUCACUUCAUUAGGAACCAUUUACCGCUCGAGUAAUCAGAAUUUUUUCCACGUAGCUCUACAAUUUGCAUCUCAGAUGGGACACAUUCAGCCAUAUGGUCCUUUUUUGUAAUAAAACAGCUCCGAAACAGCUUCAAUUCUCAACACCUUGCUACAAAAAAUGAGUGCAGGUUAAUAUCUAUUAUGUCUGAAGUCAAGAGAAAAUUCAAUGAGAAAAUUAAAACAAAAUGGUACUCUUUAGGGGAAAUCUAGGCAACUUGGGAUGCAAUUUAAAGAAUGCUGAGGGAUGUACGAACCUAUGCUUAGGGUUAGGCACUUAAGAGACACAUUUUCAAAGGUGUUUAGAUGCUUAAAGAUGCAUGCAAACAUUUUGUAUGGGAUUUCUGAAAUCUCAGAGACCUCUCACUGAUUUCAAAGAGCAUUUCAGCGCCCAUUAGGCAUUUGCUUACAUCUUUUGAUACCUUCCCGAAACGAAAGUUCCAAAAUGACUUUCCGACCUCUCUCAGCAAAUGUGAGAAGAAAACACAGAUUUUCCAAACCUCAGAUGUUAAUUGCGAGGCCAACUUUUCCCCUCCCAGGAAGGAGCCCUCCAGCUGCACACCAUGAGCAGGACGACGCAUGCACUACUUGCACUGAUGGCAGGGUGCCCAUGCAUGAGGGAUGGCAGAAAGGGACAGCCUCUGCAGGGCACGACACACUCAAGUCUUGUGGGAUCUCCUGGGUGAAGGCUGAUUUUCAGGGCUGACUACAUAGGUGGAGAAAUGCGCGGUAAUAUACUCGUCACCAGGAUCUCCUUGCUGCAAUGGGCUGUGUGCCAUCCACCAACCCUACUUUAAGGCUGCACAAUUAAGUCAACAUUAAGACUGUGUCAGGAAAAGCUAAACUUAGGGUUUCAUCAGUAAGAUUAAUGCACUGGGGUGCUGACUCUCUUCAAUUUAUAGUGCUCAUCUCAUCAGGGAAGAUGACAGUAUAUUCAAGCACAUUUUUCUCAAACUAGAGGAACAAGCAGGCUGCCAUUUCAACUGUGCCCCCGAGGCUGAGAAGUGUAAAUCGUAGAGAAGAAGGUGGGGAGUUUUCUGCAAAUGUCUGCAUUCAGGCACAUGCACAGCACGCAGCAACCUUGAGCAGGAUCCAUCCUGUUGGAGUAAAUACAGAAUGAGUGGCACUUAACACAUGCCAUUUAAUGAAAUACUAUAGCGGUCAGUAAAGACGCCUUCACUUUUUGAAGGACAAUGAAAUGCAGAAGCGGGGCCGUCUCUGGCUGAACAAGCAGACCAUGCUGUAAUGUCCCUGAUGGGGUCCCAGGGAGGUGGCAGUCCCUGUGAGACCAUGCUCUGUCCUCUGGGUCCUGCAGCACAGCGGUGCCGGGGCCACCCCGUGCUCCUUCGAGCUGGCACCACAGCAGCUUCCCAUCCCCAAGGCUCUUUACUACAUCCCUGACUGUAAGUAAUUUGGUCAUCUGACCAUUUUAUCAUCCUGGCCAUGACUUCCGAUUAUCGUUAUAUCAAUAAAUCUAUCUGGUUGCUGUAUUCUUAAGCGUAGCGCUGAGGAAAGCUUGGCAGCAGAAAGGCUGACUGUUCUUUCCUCGGGCUCAAGAAGCUGCUAGAAGGUUAAUGAGGUCUCCUAAGGGUCACAGGAUGAAACUGUACCCAAGAGCAUACACAGAAUACACAUGUAAGGUUUAGCCCUGCUUUCUGCAGAAAGAAAAGCAGCUUAAAAGCAUCUGUGAGGAAGGAGAGCUUCUAAGAAGUCAGCCGAUACUCUGCAGCUCCCCUGAGAAGCAAGGGAAUACUGAGUGCUGUUCCGCAGGCCUGCUGCUUCCUUCAGGUAAUGGGGUUCACACACGUUAAUUGAUUAAGAUCUGGACUGUCACUGUAAACAACCACUAUACAAGGCUCACUUUCUUACAUCUAUUCUUCCAGGUCAUUGUGAUCACUUCUGAUGAAUUCAAUGUCUUUUACACGCUUUAUUCUAUUCUGUUUUGUAUGAUUAAAAUCUUGAAGGAGCUGAACAUCGCACAAUCCACUUGGUUAUUUUGCUGACCACAGAAGCAUAAAACCAAAACAAACCAAGAAAACUGUCCAGCUGGCAAACCUGGGCACCUCCAUGGGGGAUUUUGAGCAACCUGCUCUAGUGGGAGGUGUCCUUGCCUAUAGCAGGGGGGUUGGAACCAGAUGAUCUUAAAGGUCCCUUCCAACCCAAACCAUUCUAUGAUUCUAUGAUUUUGUGGUAACUGCCCAUAGAACACCUUGCAGCACAGCUCUGUGACUCUGCUAGACCCUCUGACAUCACAGCAAAGCAGAAUGGAAGGUCUCUGGAGAGAGGUGGCACUGGCUAACAUGAUGGAGAAACCCAAGAGGCUGCCCAUGGGACAGCACAAUGGCUGGUCAGACACUGAUGGGCACACUUCUCUCUUUUCCAGGGGGAUGGCAGAAGGGCGGCUUGGCUUCUGCUCCGAGCACGUCUACUUCUCACAGCGGCUUUCCUGGGAUAUUUUACUUAUUUCAACUGUUAAGUUGUUUAUCUUCAUCGUGAGUAAAAGGAGAAAAGCUUGA